GGGGCGCUGAAGAAUCCCUCUGGUGGCCAGAUUUUAUCUUCAGUUGAUGGGCGUAGGUAGGCCCUUUAGCCCCAACCUUCGUUGUCGCUUGAUGGAGUCUUAGCGUCGUUGGUGAAUUUGGAGGUUUUGGGCUCUUGGCUAUAGAGUCAUGAGGUUUUUGUUUGUUUGUUUCUUUGUGUUAGCCUCAGGUUUGUUAUGAAGGUAACGAACAAGUAGCCUUUGGAUCUCGUACUGUUGGUUGCUGUGGAUUUCGAGGUUGAGACCCAGUAGCUCAAGAGUGGAGCAUUUCAGCAGGACAUGCAUUGUUGUUUCAUUCUCCUCUUCACAGUUUCUGCACGUUGGGUGGAUAUGGUUAUUAAAACGGGCUAGGUUUGCUUUGAGCCUGUUGUGGCCUGUUCUUAGCCUGUACAGUACCCUGGAGAUGUAUCUGGAUUUGUGUGCGUGCCAUUUAAGUGGGCCAGUUCUGUUCCUCCUCUGUAAGUUAUCUUUCUCGUUGUCUUUUUGCAGUUCAGUCAUGCUUAUUUUGUUUAGGUAUGCCCUGAAGAUGGAGCUUUGUUCUGUGGCAGAUAGUUGGUUACUGAUGAGUCUGCCGAUGUCUGGUCUUGAGCUUUCUUCUGAUGCUAGCUUAUCUGCCUUUUCGUUUCCUGCUAUUCCAAUAUGGCUUGGCACCCAGUAGAGAUUGACUUUGGUACCUGCACUUUUUAGUGUUUCAGCUGUGCUAAGGAUAGUAUUAAUAAU